ACCUUGUUCUUGAGCUGUCCGGUUGCCACAGGGUCAGACCUGGAGGCUGCAGACCAUGAUGGCCCUUAGCAGUGUUCGGAAACAUAUGUACUCCCCCCAAAAAAACAUUCCUUGGAAAAGCUGAACAAAAUGAGUGAAAACUCAUACCGUCAUUCUCAUCGGAACUGAGGUCCAGCACGUUGCCUCCAGCAGGGACUGUUGGAGUGAAGGACAGUUUCCACUAGUCCCUAUAGGUUCCACCACCCAGGGCGUCCGCAGGCUGUUGCCGUCGGAGGUCCGCUGCCUGCUGUCAAGGAAGAUGGUCGAGGCUUCUGAGAAGCAGGCCCUGCGGGUUUCUGGAUUUGGUGUGGCCUGGCAUCCAUGGUGCAUCCCGUGCUGGCGGGUGGCCCAGGACGGGGCAGUUGCCUUGAGAGGCCCAUGGCCUGCUGGCAUGGCAGAUGGUCAGUUCUUCCGAGCAAUGGAAUCUCCAUGGAGUUGUGGAGUCGGUGUGGCCUCACAUCCACGGUGCACCCCGUGCUAGUGGAUGGCUCAGGACGGGGCAGUUGCUGUGGGAGGCCUGCCGCCAGCUGAAAGGAAGAUGGUUGAUGCUUCUGAGCAAUGAAGGCCCCGUGGAGUCCUGGAUUCGGUGUGGCCUGGCGUCCGUGGUGCACCCCAUGCUGCUGGAUGGCUCAGGACGGGGCAGUUGCCAUGGGAGGCGCAGGCCUGCUGGAAGGAAGAUGGUCGAUUCUCCCGAGCAACAAAGGCCACGCAGAGUCCUGGUUUUGGUGUGGCCUGGUAUCCAUAGUGCACCCCGUGCUGGUGGGUGGCUCAGGACGCACACUCAUUUCCUCUGCACCUUCCUGAUGUCAUUGGCAUGGAAGGAAGGCCCUUGUCCAAGAAGGAUGGUCUUCGUCUUGUGUGAUCUUUGAGAUGCCAUGAGGCCCCUGGAUACAAAUGGUGUGGGCUCCUUUGGAGGCUUUUGGAUUUCUCCUGAAUGUGGCGUUGGUAUGCAAGGAAGGCCAGUGACCACAAGGGAUGAUUUUGAUCUUGGGAGAUUUUUGGAGAUGGCAAAGUGCUUCUAAACAUGUGUGGCAUGGUCUCCUUCAGGCCGGUGGAUACCUCAGGAUGGUGGCGUUGGCAUGGAAGGAAGGACUGUGUCUGUGAGGGAUGAUCAUCCUCUCAUGUGAUCCUUGGAGAUGCCAGGAAGCCCCUUGACACAUGUGGCAUGGGCUCCUUCAGAGGCUUUUGGAUCCUUCGUGAGUGUGGUAUGGGCAUGCAAAGAAAGACAGAGGCUGCAAGGGAUGAACUUCAUCUUGGGAGAUCCCUGGAGAUGGCAGGGAACCCAUGGACACAUGUGGCAUGGGCUCCUUCGGGUGCCGGUGGAUCCCUUCAUAUGGUAGUGUUCGUGUAAAAGGCAAACCUGUGUCAUGAGAGAUGAUCAUCAUCUCGUGUGAUCCUUGGAGAUGGCAGGAAGCCCUGGACAUAGACGGUAUGGGCUCCCCCAGAGGCUGUUGGAAUCCUCCUGGAUGUGGUGUGGGCAUGGAAGGAAGGCCAGUGGAGACAAUGGAUGAUCUUGUUCUUAGCAGAUCACUGGAUGUGGCAGGGAGUCCUAGGACAUGUGUGGUGUGGGCUUCUUCAGGUGCUGGUGGCCUGGGCAUAGAAGGAAGGUCAGUGGCCAUGAGGGACAAUCUUGGUCUUGGGAGAUCCCUGGAAAUGAUAGGGAGUCCCUUGAUAUGUGUGGCAUGGGCUCCUUCAGGUGCUAGUGGAUUCCUUAGGAUGGUGGUGUUGGCAUAAAAGGCAGACUCGUAUCAUGAGGAAUGAUUGUCAUCUUGUAUGAUUCUUGGAGAUGGCAGGAAGCCCCUGGAAACACAUGAUGUGGACUCUGUCAUAGGCUGUUGAAACCCUCCCGAAGGGGCAAGGACUGGAUCGAUGAUGACUUCCAUAUAUACAUUCCUUGGAAAGCUGAACAAAAUGAGUGAAAACUCUAUACCGUCAUCCUCGUCGAACUGAGGUAUUGUGGCCAUGGAAGUAAGGCCAGUGGCUACGAGGGACAGUCUUCAUCUUGGGAGAUCCCUAGAGAGGGCAGGGAGCCCCUUGACAUGUGGAAUGUGGUUUCCGUUGGGUGCUGGUGGAUCCCACAGGUGGUGUGGCAUGGAAGAAGGCCAGAGGCUGCGAUGGAUCAUCUUUGUCUUGGGAGAUUCCUGGAGAUGGUGGGGAGCCCCUGGGCACGUGCAGCACAUGUGGUGUGGGCUUCUUCAGGUGCUGGUGGAUCCCUCAGGAUGUUCAUCGUGGAACCAGCACAGAUUUUCAUAUGAAAGUUAUAUUUUUUUUUAACCUCAAAAAGUGACAGAAUGGAGUGUAUCAUGAAAAAGUCUGACAUCAAAACCUCAAAAUGUGAUAUUGAUUGGGUGAGAUAGAAUUCCAUGGAAUUUCAUUGCCAAACCAGUGAAGUGCUAAUUUUGACAUUUGUACCAGCUAACGUAGCUGUGAAGAAACACACCAAUACGCUUCUAAGGACAACAUAGACCAAGAUCUAGGUUUCAUAUGGAUGAAUUUAUUCUUCCCUUCGAGGCAAGACAAGAAGGAAAGAAAGUAUUGGGAAUAAUGCUGCCCUCCCAUCCUCAAGGGCCAGUGGGAACUCUAAUAUUGAUUGGUUGUCACGGAAUUCCAUGGAAUUUAACUGCUGAACCAAUGAUGCGCUGAUUUUGUCAUUUGUACCAUCUAACUCAUCUGGGAGGCAACAAAACAAUAUUCUCCUGAGGUUAAUGUGGACCAAGAACUAGAUUUCAUGUAAAAGAGUUUAUUCCUUCUACUUAAGGUGUGACAUGAAGGAAAGUAAUGGAAAUAAUUCUGCCCUCCCAUUCUCAAGGGCCAGGGGGAAUUCUAAUAUUGAACGGAAGUGAUUUUGGAAUUGCAUGGAAUUCUCACUGCCAUCCCAAAGAAAUGCUCAUCUUGUCACUCUUACCUGUUCCAUUCCCCGGGACAGAACAAAAGGAUUCACUCCAAAGAUUGGCAUGAACCAAGAACUGGGUUUCAUAUAAAAUAUUUUAUUCUGUCCUCUUGAGAUGUGACAUGAAGAAAAGUAUUGAGAAUACUUCUAUCACCUCAUCUUCAAGAAUCCAUAGGAAUUCUCCCACGGUGGACGUUACGGUUCACCUGAACAGGUCUUGGAAAAAGGACUUUAAACAUUCUCCUGUUCUGUGGAAUAAGUAUACUUUUUUUCUGGACAUACACCUUGUCAGUGAGUUCCAUGUGAUACUAGAGUUGCAUAGAUUUUUAACCUUUACACCAAUGAAGAUCUGAGGCAAACAUUGCCCCUUUUUUAGAAGUUUGCAUUUGUCACUGAUAACUGUAAUAAUUGAUCUUGUUGAAAAGCCUGGGAAAUGAAGAUCUGAUAUGUCACUUUUACCAGCUUCCUCAACUGAAAAAGAAUACAACGAAACACGCCGAGAAUUUUUGUGCUUUCUCAGUCUUGCUGAUGAUCUUUCUAUGGGCAUGAAGCGUGGAGAGUGCCAGAGAGGCUGAUCCUCAGCAGUGUGGCAGAGGAAAUUUGGGUGCAACCAAGGGGUAUGCGGUGCCCAAAUGCCACUGGGUCCUCAGCAGUACCACCUGAUUGGAAGUGAUAUUGGUGGAAGACAACAUUUUGCCGCUUGGAAUUCUCACCUCCACACCAAAGAAGUACUGUUUUUGUCAUUUGCACGAGCUUCUUUCUCCAGGAAAGAUCAAAAUGAUGCACUGCAAGUGUGGUUGGUCCAGAUAGCUGCCUUAUCCAACUGCCUCCUUUGGACCACUUCAUCAUGGGACAGCUUGAUGCAAUCUACUUGACAAGCCCCUGGAACCCCACACCCCUCAUGGAGCCAGUGUCCACCUCCUAGUCACAGUGUGACCCCAGGGAACUCAUGCCUGCUUGCUUUAAACCCACCACUUAAAAGUCUCCACAGAAAACCUGUUUGAAUAGUACCCUUGACCCAAUAAGGGCAUUGGCCCAUGGGUGUCUCUCUCUCUCUCUCCCCCUCUCUCUCUCUCGCUCCCUGACCUCUGCGUGUGGACUCCAGGCAUGCCAUAUACCCCUCAGGACCUGAAGCAAGAGAAUGAAUUAAAGAAAACUCCAGAGAAUGAGCUGACAACUUACUCCCUAGUCAGUGGCUCUCCAUGCCUACCUGUGGUCUCUUGGACACCCUUGCAGAAUAUGACUUCCUGGGAACUCUUCUGGAAGUGAAUGUUGUCAGCAGAUUCCCAAAACAACACCCCUUAGACAAAAAGCCUCCUCACCUAUGCAUUGCCUAGGCCACCCACGAAAGGUGAUGGCCACAAAGAGGUGGAUUUGUUGAGUUGGUGCCAUUCCUUCUACUGCCAGCUUCACCAAAACAAUGACACAGUCUUCCUUCUGCAUGGAGACUCUUCUCUUUCCUGUGUUGCAGUGGAUGCCUCCUGCAGAUAAGAAAUGCUUAACUGAGAAAUGCUCAUGUUGGGAUAUCAUCGAUGAGACUUUAAUUUGGGCAUGGUGACUGUUUCCCUUGCUGCCACUUGACUCAAUCCCAGGAGGCUCAGUAGAGGAUAUAAUAUUACACAAGAUGCUCAAAAUGGUGGAAUUGCUCAGUGCUCCCAUAAAUAUACAUUUAUAAUUUUCAUUUGCCACAUGGUAAACUGAAAAAUACAGAAUAUAUUAAAAAGAAACUGCAUGAUUUUUUUUCAAAAAUUCAAAGCAUAUUUAAAUAAUAUAUAAAUUAAAUGCCCUCCUCUCUUCCAAUUCUGUCCCUAUAGUUUUCCUCUAUUAAGUGAACUACAUGCAUUCUUUUAGUGGAUAGAUACACACAAACCAUUGUGGGGAAGGAUCCACGUGUGUGGCCAUAUUGUAACACAUUUUUCUGCAAAUUACCUCUUUCAUUUAACAGCCCUUAUUCAAUGGCCUUUUUCUUUUUCAGUAAUACAUACACAUCUGUGUCAUUUGUUGAAUGACGACAUGAAUGUUUUGUAGAUGAAAUAUAAUUAAAUGUUUUAAGCAUUUCUCAGUCAUAGAUAUUUAUGUUAGCACCAAAUUUCUGUGCAAUGAACCUCCCUAUAUAUCAAUAAUUUUGCAUUUGUCUAUAAUAUCAUAAUAAAUUACUUAUCAGUUGAAUUACUAGGAUUAAGUAUGUGCACACUUUAUAUUUUGAAAAUUAUUGCAAGAUUGCCUUCAAAAAUGUGGUUAACAACUUUAUCCUCAAAUGGCAAUGAAUGAGAUUGCCAGCUUUCCUACAACCUCACAGACAAUGGAUUUUAUAAAUAUUUAACAUUUUUGCCAAUGUGAUCACCCAGACUAUUGUCUUAAAUUGUAUUUCUUUUGUUUUUGAGUUUCGUCAUUUUUUCAUGUUUAUUAGCCAUCUGUAUUUUUUAAUUUCUUCUUUAUGUCCAAUUUUAUGGGUGGGAGGAGGAUUUAGUCUCUUCCUGAUUUCGAAGAGCUCAUUUACUAUUUCGGAAAAUAAGAUUUGGAUUGUCAACCAUUAUAGCUAUUUUUUACACACUUUUCAACUUUGUUUUUGUUAUAAGAAUGUGUAUGAUUGUUAUAUGUCCAAGUAUAACCAUGUUCGCUUUUAUGGCUUCUGAGUUUCAUGUCAUUUUUGGAAAGAUAUAUAUACUGAGUCCAUAAAACCCUUCACCUGUGUUAAAUUCUAGUUCUUUUGUGUUUUUUUAAUUCAGAUUCUUAAAUCAUGAGAAAUUUUUUUGUUUUGAAAUCUUAAAGUUGCCAAGUUACUUGCCAUUACUUGCGAUUAUUUGCCAAUAAUUGCCCAUUUAUCUGUACUGCCAUCUUGCGCAUAUGCUGUACUCUCAUCUGUGACUGGCUCCAUUUUUGUUCUGUGGAUUUGUGUGUCUCUUCUUCUGCCUCCUGUCUCAUGUGUCUUCUCGUUGGAAGAAAUUACAGUUUAGACUGCAAUUUCAUCAACUUUAAUAAAUCAAUUGAGGGGAGAAUUGGUUUUUAAAAAUAUUAAGUAAGUCUUCAUAUCCAAGGACAAGGUAUGUCUUUUCUUAUUCAAUAAUUUUAAUUACUGUUAAUAUUUUCACUGUGGUGAUGGGAUUUUUUCUUUUAAUUUAUUUUCUUGUUCAUUUUUUGUAUCUAAAGUUUUUGUUUUGUUUUGUUUUGGGGGUAAGUUGUCACCUUACUGUUUCUUGUUGCUUUUCAGAUUUUUUCAAAGUAUAGAGUAAAUCCUUCACAAAUAUUUAAAGUUUUUAUUUUCCCCCUUCAUAUUGAUCCUGAUUUUAGUUAUGUUGACAAAGUCCACUGACUGUUACUAUCGGAACACUUGAACAGUUAUGGAAGUAUUACCUACCCUUGAUUUAAUCAGAGUUUAAUGGUAUGCUUCUUUGGUUUGACUGGCACAUUGUUGCUGGUCAUUUUCUCCCAAAGACCACCAGAAAGAGCUAUGAUCAAGCAAAGCUGAGUUUGUUAAACUUACCUGCAGCAAGGGAAAACACCACCUUGAUAGGGUUUAAUAAUGUUUCAAAAUCAAGAAAUGAGACUUUGGGGUCUGGGCAGGGAACUAAUUAGAAAUGGGCAAAAUUUGUCAUGCAAUACUUUAAGAUUGGUGGGAAAGUGAGAUGAAGUUCUUAAUGUGAGUAUUGAUGGUUAAAUCAUUUUCUAGGUGAGCUGUUUGCCUAUAUAAAGAUGUUAUCAAUGAUAGAAGAACUAUUUGCCUAGAUAAACUGAAUUUAUUUAUUGGUUUACAGUUUUAUCUUGCUGGGCAGGACUCUGCUGGGGGUGGUAUCAGGUCUUAUUCCCAAUAGGUAAGUUAUUUGGAUAUGGGUGGUCUUAAUCAUCAAUGUUUAAAAUGCUGAUUUUAAGUGCGAAAUGCUUUGUCUACCAUGUUAGGAAAGUCCCCCACCUUUUAUCUUUUUAAAGGAAUUUUAAUCAAAACCAGGUGGUAGAUAUAAUCAAAUUUUUUUGCAGAAUCAAUUUUACUGUUCUUUUUAAAGACUUUUAUCACUGUGAAUUAAUUUACUAUUAUUGCAACUUCCUUUUAUUCCUUGAAUGAACAGACCCUACUGGUUUUAAAAAUGUUUUAUUCUUUUAAUUUACUACUUAAUUGUGGGUAUUUUACUUUGAUUUGGAAUUUUUACAAGUAUACAACUAAGUGAAAUUGAUCUGUGAUUUUUCUUUUUUGUGCUAUUUUUGUCAUGUUUUGAUAUCAGAUAUUCUGGUUGUGUUAAAAUAAUUUUGAGGAUUUUCUUCUUAUACUGUGUUCUAGAGUGGGUAAAAAAAGCCCUAGUCUCACUAUCAGUGUUUAAGUGAACACAUCAAUGACAUCAUCUGGACUCUCCUUUGUUUUUGCUGGUUUGGAGUUAGGACAUCUAGAAGUUUGUUUUUUAUUUUUUUUUCCUUUUUUUGUAUGGUUAUUGCUUGUUCUUUGUUUUGUGUCAAAUUUAACCUGUUUUCUCUUAGCAAAUCACAGUUCGUGCAGAUUUUCAAACACAUUAGCAUUGUUAUACAAAGUGUUCUUUCAUCAUUCUAUUAAAUUUCCAUUUUCAUUCCAGUUAUAGUUAUUUCUGCUGUGCCUUUGUUAAUGAAUAAGUUUAAAUCGUGGAUGUUUAGCAUCACUAGCCUUCCCCUUCCAUCUCCCUUAAUCAGGUCUUUGGUAUAAUUUAUCAGGUAUUUUUUAAGGUUCUAAUUUACUUAUAUAUAUUGCUUCUGUAUUCUUUUGUUUCUUUUCUUAAUAAAUUCUUAAACCUGUGUAA
rnacentral:antisense_RNA from 1 species